GCGACCAUUUCAACUAGUUUUAUUUCCGGAUAGCCGUUUAAGCUCCCGUUUUUGUAUAAUAGCUAUUUUAAGGAUUAUAACUUGGACUUCCAAUAUGUCGACAUGGAUAAACAGCCUCAAGUCAACUUUGUAAUUUCUCCGUCACCAUGAUGUGUCGCUGUGGUACGAAAGGAUUGGGAUCAAGUUAUGCAGAUUGUUGAGAGCAAUAUGAUGAGGGAAGGCAGGAAAGAGUCUUAUUGUCAGUAUAUACUCAUGGAAAAAUGGUGUUCGAGAGGUGGCGAAUAAGGAUUUGCAUGCAGCAUUGAAGAACGAUAAUAUGAAAAACCAUGGAAAAUCUUCGGAAGCAUCGGUCCGUAGAACUUGUUCAUACAGAAAAACGACUACAGAAGGUGUCAUCCAAACCCACUUAUAAGAUGCACCGGAUUUUUUCUGAAGACCUUGUUGGUGUUGAAUUAAGUCGCAAAAAAAUUAAAUUAAAUAAACCAAUUUUUGUUGGAAUGAGUAUCCUUGAUUUGUCAAAAUAUACCAUGUACGAUUUUUAUUAUAAUCAUUUGAAAAAUGUGUAUGGUAGCAACGUUGAGCUAGAAUUAACGGACACAGAUUCAUUUUUAGUAUCAUGUACAACACCGGACAUUUUCCAAGAUAUGUUGGCCUAUUCACAUUUGUUUGACACUUCAGAUUUCCCUAAAGAUCAUUUUUUAUAUAGUGACUUCAACAAAAAAGUAAUGGGAAAAAUGAAAAGUGAAACAAAUGAGAAAUGUAUUAGUGAAUAUUGCUGUUUGCGAUCGAAAAUGUAUGCAUUUAAGUGUGAUGAUAUAGAUGAGAAAAGAGCAAAAGGGAUAUCAAAAGCGGUUGUUAAAAAAUCAUUGACUCUUAAUGAUUAUAAACAUGUAUUAUUUAAUAAAUCUCAAAUGCACUCAACAAUGCAUUCAUUAAGAAGUCAUAACCAUAAAAUUUAUCUGGAAACAAUCAGCAAAGUAGGAUUAUCUAGUUUUGAUGACAAAAGAUUUUUAUUAGAAGAUGGAAUUAAAUCAUAUGCUUAUGGACAUUAUAAGAUACAAGACAUAUAAUUUCUAUGUUUUAUACCAAAUUACAUCUAAUUUCAUGUAAUUUCAUGUGAUGUUAUCUACUGCUCUACUGUUGAAAUGUAACCUAAAAUAAAUAAAAAAAAUGAAUAAAAAUGUAUGAUCUUUGUUAAACAAAUUGUUUGAAUUCAAUUAUAAUCAACUUUAUUUGUAUUUGCAUUGUAUUGUACUUAUAAGAAAAUAAAUAUUAAAAUCUUG